AGUGGACGCUGGCGGUAGGCCUAACACAUGCAAGUCGAACGGCAGCACAGUAAGAGCUUGCUCUUACGGGUGGCGAGUGGCGGACGGGUGAGGAAUACAUCGGAAUCUACUUUUUCGUGGGGGAUAACGUAGGGAAACUUACGCUAAUACCGCAUACGACCUACGGGUGAAAGCAGGGGAUCUUCGGACCUUGCGCGAUUGAAUGAGCCGAUGUCGGAUUAGCUAGUUGGCGGGGUAAAGGCCCACCAAGGCGACGAUCCGUAGCUGGUCUGAGAGGAUGAUCAGCCACACUGGAACUGAGACACGGUCCAGACUCCUACGGGAGGCAGCAGUGGGGAAUAUUGGACAAUGGGCGCAAGCCUGAUCCAGCCAUACCGCGUGGGUGAAGAAGGCCUUCGGGUUGUAAAGCCCUUUUGUUGGGAAAGAAAUCCAGCCGGCUAAUACCUGGUUGGGAUGACGGUACCCAAAGAAUAAGCACCGGCUAACUUCGUG
rnacentral:rRNA from 1 species